CAGCCUGCUCUACAAAGUGAGUUCCAGU
rnacentral:piRNA from 1 species